GGCAAGACAGGAGGGAAGAGAGGAGGCAAGCAGAGACACUGAUUGAUCUGGCUUCAAAGGGGAGGAGGAAGAGACUGAGGUUGGAACAGGAAGGAAGAAAGCAAUAGUGAGGUCAAGGGCGUGGGCAGGAAGUGGCUCAGCUGCAGAGCUGGGAGGUGUGGUGUAAGCUUUGGGACUCCGGUGGUUGGGAGCCAAGUGGUGGCUUGGGAAGCUGGAAACAAAGGUGGGCUGCAGAUGCCUGGAGCAAGGCUGUGUGGGAGCCUCCCGCGGGGUCGUCCCUGAGCACAAGAGAGAGCCAGGAUCCUAUAGACAACACCUUUUAUGUGGCAAGUUAUUUUUGCUGUGAAGCCACGUGGUUGCGCCAGUCAAGCAUGUCCCCUGUGCCGCCUGAGGUCUGCUGGACACCACAUUCCGAGAGACAUUUCCUGUCAGCUUCAUUGUGCUUCACAGAGCUGGUGGCCAUAUGAGUUGCUCAUUAAGGUGGCCUAUUGUCUCAGCCACUCUUCACUUCCUCAGGGAUCGCCACUGCUGGUUGAGCUCCACUGUUUCAAUGGUUCCUGCACCUGCACGAGAAAGCUACACAUCUGCAUCUCCUUGGUCGUGGAGUCCAAGGUGGUUCCCAGCUGCCCAUGGAGUCCUCUUCAGAGGACUGACAAGCUGGAGAUGGAAACUACAUUUGGAGUCCUGCUCCAGGAGGGAAAACGGAAAAACAAGACACUGCCCCCAGGUCUUCAUUAGCCAGUGUAGGCAGGGAAGGGCUUCCUCUACUGCUGGAGUUUGUCAAGGAUCAAUAUGUUGCAACAUAUGUUUUACAGCUUCCUGAGAUGCAUCCAGGCAGGAGCUCAUUUCCAUCCCAAAUUGGCUCCAGAGGGCGAAGGCUUCUGGGAGAUACCAGGUUCCUUCUGCAGGAUGAGUUUAGGAACCAUUUUUUACCCACGAUACCCUCCUGAUCUGUGGUUCUCAACUGUCACGUUUACGGAAGAAUUCACACAACCUCCAACUCUGGGACACAGAGAAGUGCUCCCAGAGCAAUAACCACUGGUAAAACUGGAAGCCAUGAUGUAACCUUGUCCCCAUUUGCUCCUUUGACCUUGGCAGUAAAUCAACUUCCCAAAA
rnacentral:lncRNA from 1 species